CCAUUUCCUGGGGUGAUGGAGCGGAGCCGGGCCCAGCCGCAGGAUCCUCCGCCGGCCAGACCCCAGCUCUGGGCACGGCACGUCCUGGCCUUGGGCAGGCAGCCCGGUCUCGCGGUCUGGCGGGCCGUGUAAAUGCCGAGUUCGGUGAUUCAUCGGGGCGGGGGUGCUGGGCAAAGGCCGAGGCGGGCUUGGCGAGCAGGGCCCCACCGUAGCCCAGGACGAGGAGCAGAGGACGCCCCGCCCCGCCCCUCCCACAGCCCACAGUCAGCCCUGCAGUGGGCCCCCAGCUUCCCCCGCGACUGCCUCCAGGGCCCAGGCCACGGUCUCCUCCGCCUGGGAGACCCUCCAGCCCGCCUCGGUUGCCCAAGGCGCCCGGACGUCUCCGACCAGAUUCAGGAGCAGACGGGGAGCCGACUCCCCGGGGCUGAAACACCACCUUGACAACAGGGCCGCAGUAAUGACGGAGGUUCCUUCCAGUUCCAGGGACGAGGAGCCGGGGCCCCUCUGGAGGGCUCACCCGCUGCUGCUCGCCUGCCCGUCCCCAGCGCCAGCACAGAGCGCGUCCAGGCCCCGAAGGCGGGUCACCCACACGUUGGCUCUUCGACUUUCCGGGGGAGCAGUCUCUUUGCUCAAGCAGCCCUUUGUCCCACCCGACCCAGAGUGCCCACAGGGGCCUGGACGCUGUCUGCUCCUGCACUUGGGCCCCGUCCUGGGGAGACCCACACGGCACUCGCUGGUCGGUGGGCAGCCCGCUGGUCCAUCUCCCGGGGAGUCCCAGCACCCACCCCCAGCAGCCCGCUGGUUCCUCUAAGGGGUCACCUUCCCCAUGGCCAAGUCCACGGGCCCCAGUGAAGGGGCCGCGUCCGUUCCCCGGGCCUCAGCUGCAGGCCAGAGUCCAGCCAGGGCGUCGAGGGACCCAGGACUCUGGGCGUGGAGCAGGACACCUGGGAAGGUUUGUCCCUGUGGGAAUGGUCUGGAGCUGUUGCAGCCAUCCUGCGACAAAGAAGAGAGUGGAGCCAGAAACCAGCCUGGGAUGCUUGAUCAAGCCAUACCUGAAUCUUAAGCCAUGUGAAUGAAUAAAUGCCCUUGACGUUAAUUUGGUUGUUUUCUGUCUUGUAUAAUUAAGAGUCUAGACUGGCACAGGCUUCAGUCAUAGCAGACUCCACACACACUCAGCCCUAUCUUGAUGUUCUGAAAAUCCAGCCGCCCUAUCCCUACGAGAAGGCCCCGUCCCCAGGUGGAGGUGCUGGACUCCCCAGAUCCCAGACCAUGGCAAACCCUGGCUGGAGUCCCGUGAGCGCUCCCUGUGUGCCCUGACCAGGGCUCUGGGGGUGGCCCGAUCAUUGCAUGGGCCCGGGGCCCUGAGACGUGCACCAGCCCCAGCAGGCAAGACAGCUGCCCGGGGUAGUCUCUGCCGUGGAGCAGCCGGGGGCUGAGCCCGAUGUCCCUGUGAGAAGCAGCGGCUUUCCUUCUUCCUGGGAAAUGCGCUCAGCACGCCUGGGGACGC